GGAUUAUAUUUAAAAUUAAAGAAUUUGGCGGUGCCUUAUCCUUAUAGAGGAACUUGUCCUUUGAUCGAUAGUCCCCGUUAAAUCUAACCUUAUCUAAAGUUUAUAUACCGUUGUUGUUAGAUUACUUGGUAGAUGAUUUAUGAGUUUUCUUGAUAAAUUUGUUUUAUGACUUCAAAUCAAGGUGUAGUAGAUGGUAGGGGUUGAGAUGAGUUACUUUGAGUAUGAGAUAGAGAACUAGAUGCAAUUCUUUUUUGUUAGAGGAUUUAUAAGUAAAUUUUUAUUAGUAAAAUAAAUUGAAAGGGGGUCUGGGGCAUGUACAUAUCGCCCGUCACUCUGGUUUUAAUAUCGGAUAAGUCGUAACAAAGUAGGUGUAAGGGAACUUGCCCCUAGAUGG
rnacentral:rRNA from 1 species